GUGGGGAAUAUUGGGCAAUGGGGGAAACCCUGACCCAGCGACGCCGCGUGAGGGAAGAAGGCCUUAGGGUCGUAAACCUCUGUUGUGUGGGAAGAAGAGCGUGACGGUACCACACGAGGAAGUCCCGGCUAACUACGUGCCAGCAGCCGCGGUAAUACGUAGGGGACGAGCGUUGUCCGGAUUUACUGGGCGUAAAGGGCGCGUAGGCGGUCAUUUAAGUCAGCUGUGAAAUGGUUUGGCUUAACCGGAUCAUGCGGUUGAAACUGGAUGACUGGAGUGCUGGAGAGGCAAGUGGAAUUCCCAGUGUAGCGGUGAAAUGCGUAGAUAUUGGGAAGAACACCAGUGGCGAAGGCGACUUUCUGGACGAUGUCUGACGCUGAGGCGCGAAAGCUAGGGGAGCGAACGGGAUUAGAUACCCGUGUAGUCC
rnacentral:rRNA from 1 species